rnacentral:rRNA from 1 species
AUUGAACGCUGGCGGCAGGCCUAACACAUGCAAGUCGAGCGGAUGAAGGGAGCUUGCUCCUGGAUUCAGCGGCGGACGGGUGAGUAAUGCCUAGGAAUCUGCCUGGUAGUGGGGGAUAACGUCCGGAAACGGGCGCUAAUACCGCAUACGUCCUGAGGGAGAAAGUGGGGGAUCUUCGGACCUCACGCUAUCAGAUGAGCCUAGGUCGGAUUAGCUAGUUGGUGGGGUAAAGGCCUACCAAGGCGACGAUCCGUAACUGGUCUGAGAGGAUGAUCAGUCACCCGGGAACGGAGACACGGUCCAGACCCCUACGGGAGGACGGAGGGGGGAAUAUGGGAAAAGGGGCGAAAGCCGGACCCAGCCAGCCCGGGGGUGGAAAGAAGGUCUUCGGAUUGUAAAGCCCUUUAAGUUGGGGGGAAGGGCAGUAAGUUAAUACCUUGCUUUUUUGACUUGACCAACAAAAUAAGCACCGGCCAACUUCGG